UUAUAGAUUUGUUUUUGUUAGAUGAUUUGGUGUAUGUUAGAAAAUUUAUUUAAGUGGACUGUGAAAUAUCCAUUAAUAUAGAUGUGAAUGUUGAAGAAUGUUUCCGAGGUAUUAUGUUAUGACACAUCAACUAGUUCUUCCACAUAAAGUAAUUUAGUGCAAUAUAAACUUAAGUAGAAAUGUAAAACAUGAGCUCAAUUGCUAUCCUUUAUAGUAUAAUGGUUUAAAAUGUAGGAAUUCCAUUUAUUAUGUUCAGAGUACUUUUUUAUGUUUUAUUGUAAGCAUGACAAAAAAUGAGAGGGGAACAGUUAU
rnacentral:lncRNA from 1 species